rnacentral:rRNA from 1 species
AAUACAUGCAAGUUGAGCGAUGAAGAUUGGUGCUUGCACCAAUUUGAAGAGCAGCGAACGGGUGAGUAACGCGUGGGGAAUCUGCCUUUGAGCGGGGGACAACAUUUGGAAACGAAUGCUAAUACCGCAUAACAACUUUAAACAUAAGUUUUAAGUUUGAAAGAUGCAAUUGCAUCACUCAAAGAUGAUCCCGCGUUGUAUUAGCUAGUUGGUGAGGUAAAGGCUCACCAAGGCGAUGAUACAUAGCCGACCUGAGAGGGUGAUCGGCCACAUUGGGACUGAGACACGGCCCAAACUCCUACGGGAGGCAGCAGUAGGGAAUCUUCGGCAAUGGACGAAAGUCUGACCGAGCAACGCCGCGUGAGUGAAGAAGGUUUUCGGAUCGUAAAACUCUGUUGGUAGAGAAGAACGUUGGUGAGAGUGGAAAGCUCAUCAAGUGACGGUAACUACCCAGAAAGGGACGGCUAACUACGUGCCAGCAGCCGCGGUAAUACGUAGGUCCCGAGCGUUGUCCGGAUUUAUUGGGCGUAAAGCGAGCGCAGGUGGUUUAUUAAGUCUGGUGUAAAAGGCAGUGGCUCAACCAUUGUAUGCAUUGGAAACUGGUAGACUUGAGUGCAGGAGAGGAGAGUGGAAUUCCAUGUGUAGCGGUGAAAUGCGUAGAUAUAUGGAGGAACACCGGUGGCGAAAGCGGCUCUCUGGCCUGUAACUGACACUG